rnacentral:pre_miRNA from 1 species
CGGCCGCCGGGCGCACCCGUCCCGUUCGUCCCCGGACGUUGCUCUCUGCCCCGGGAACGUCGAGACUGGAGCGCCCGAGCUG